rnacentral:rRNA from 1 species
UACGAAGGGAGCUAGCGUUGUUCGGAAUCACUGGGCGUAAAGCGCACGUAGGCGGAUUUGUCAGUCAGGGGUGAAAUCCCGGGGCUCAACCUCGGAACUGCCUUUGAUACAGCAAGUCUUGAGUUCGAGAGAGGUGGGUGGAAUUCCUAGUGUAGAGGUGAAAUUCGUAGAUAUUAGGAAGAACACCGGUGGCGAAGGCGGCCCACUGGCUCGAUACUGACGCUGAGGUGCGAAAUCGUGGGGAGCAAACAGG